CGUGUUCUCAGUAUCGGAACCAGGCGAGGGGUGGUGCAGUUGUGGGACAUUGAACAGAGGAAGAAUGUGACGUCACUGCUUUCACACCGAUCCGUGGUUCGAGGUCUUUCCUGGAAACAGCAACUUCUCAGCAGUGGCUCCACCCUGGGACACAUACAUCACAAUGACUUGCGGGCUCCAUCUCCCGUAGGGCGCACGGUCGUCCAACAAGAGGGCCUGUGCAGCCUUCAGUGGUCCCCCGGAGGCGAGUGGCUGGCCAGCGGCUCCGCGGACGGCCUUCUCCACAUUUGGGACCAUGACGUCACAGGGUCACGUCGGCCGCUCACCACAAUGAA